CCAAAAUGCUAUUUCAAGUGUUCCGGGUACAUAAGAAUUGUUGCCUGGCUUUCAGGAACAGCAUCUAUGGUUUGUGUUUUUAAACUUGAGUAAAACCGAGCAGGAUGCAAGUGAAGGAGGGAGAAAUCCCAAGUCAUCUUGCCAUAGUCAGUCCCUUCCAACUCUGAGCAAGCAAAUGAGAAACUGAGAAAAUGACAUCAGCAGGACGUUACUUACCUCUGUGUCGCUGUGUUACCUCUGGGUCAACUCUGCACACAUGUAAGCCCGGGAUAAUGCCACUCACGAAGAACUUAGGCCUGCAUAUAUUAUCAUCCAAAUGUUCUCAAGUAGGGUGAAACGGCGAACCUGUUCAUGUUGAGCAGACUGCUGCAGAGCUUUCCUGCUAAGUACUGCUUCAGAUUUGAAUCUACAGAAGGUCCACCCUACACAGGCGUAAGUGUUCUAGAGCAUGUGAGGAGUUUAAAGUGCUCAAGCACUUGAUGAUUAAGUUGUCUUUAAAAGUUUAUAGUUGAAAGGAAUGUCGUAAUCAUUUAAAAAUAUUAUGCAUUCAAAUCCAGUUUCCUAAUUAGCUAAAACCCUUGGAAAAUGGCAAGUUAUGAUGAUCUGAUUUCUCCAGCACGUUCUCACCCUGUCAGUUUG
rnacentral:lncRNA from 1 species